rnacentral:rRNA from 1 species
GUUAUAUGGUCAAGCGAAUAAGCGCACACGGUGGAUGCCUAGGCGGUCAGAGGCGAUGAAGGACGUGGUAGCCUGCGAAAAGUGUCGGGGAGCUGGCAACAAGCUUUGAUCCGGCAAUAUCCGAAUGGGGAAACCCACUGCUUCGGCAGUAUCCUGCAGUGAAUUCAUAGCUGCUGGAAGCGAACCCGGUGAACUGAAAUAUCUAAGUAACCGGAGGAAAAGAAAUCAACCGAGAUUCCCUAAGUAGUGACGAGCGAACGGGGAACAGCCCUUAAGCUGGAAUGGCUUUAGAAAAACAAUCUGGAAAGAUUGGCCAUAGAAGGUGAUAGCCCUGUAUUUAAAAGGGCCACUCCAGUGAAGACGAGUAGGGCGGGGCACGUGAAACCCUGUCUGAAUAUGGGGGGACCAUCCUCCAAGGCUAAAUACUCCUGACCGACCGAUAGUGAACCAGUACCGUGAGGGAAAGGCGAAAAGAACCCCGGAGAGGGGAGUGAAAUAGAUCCUGAAACCGUGUGCGUACAAGCAGUAGGAGCUCGCAAGAGUGACUGCGUACCUUUUGUAUAAUGGGUCAGCGACUUACUGUUCGUGGCAAGCUUAACCGUAUAGGGGAGGCGAAGGGAAACCGAGUCUGAUAAGGGCGCAUAGUCGCGGGCAGUAGACCCGAAACCGGGUGAUCUAGUCAUGGCCAGGGUGAAGGUGCCGUAACAGGUACUGGAGGCCCGAACCCACGUCUGUUGCAAAAGACGGGGAUGAGCUGUGAUUAGGAGUGAAAAGCUAAUCGAACCCGGAGAUAGCUGGUUCUCCUCGAAAGCUAUUUAGGUAGCGCCUCGGACGAAUACUACUGGGGGUAGAGCACUGUUAUGGCUAGGGGGUCAUCGCGACUUACCAAACCAUUGCAAACUCCGAAUACCAGUACGUACUAUCCGGGAGACACACGGCGGGUGCUAACGUCCGUCGUGAAAAGGGAAACAACCCAGACCCACAGCUAAGGUCCCAAAUUCACUGCUAAGUGGAAAACGAUGUGGAAAGGCAUAGACAGCCAGGAGGUUGGCUUAGAAGCAGCCACCCUUUAAAGAAAGCGUAAUAGCUCACUGGUCGAGUCGGUCUGCGCGGAAGAUUUAACGGGGCUAAGCAGUGAACCGAAGCUUGGGGUGCAUAAAACUUGUUUUAUGCGCGGUAGAGGAGCGUUCCGUAAGCCUGCGAAGGUGGAUUGAGAAGUCUGCUGGAGGUAUCGGAAGUGCGAAUGCUGACAUGAGUAACGAUAAUGCGGGUGAAAAGCCCGCACGCCGAAAGCCCAAGGUUUCCUUGCGCAACGUUAAUCGACGCAGGGUUAGUCGGUCCCUAAGGCGAGGGCGAAAGCCGUAGUCGAUGGGAAGCAGGUUAAUAUUCCUGCACCUCGCGUGAGUGCGAUGGAGGGACGGAGAAGGUUAGGUGUACCGGGCGUUGGUUGUCCCGGGGAAAGGCGGUAGGUUUGGAUCUUUGGCAAAUCCGGGAUCCUUUAAGACCGAGCACCGAGACGAGCCUUUAUGGCGAAGUCACUGAUACCACGCUUCCAGGAAAAGCUCCUAAGCUUCAGCUCACGAAGACCGUACCGUAAACCGACACAGGUGGGUAGGAUGAGAAUUCUCAGGCGCUUGAGAGAACUCGGGUGAAGGAACUAGGCAACAUGGCACCGUAACUUCGGGAGAAGGUGCACCCUUUUUGGUGGCUCAUGCGAGCUAUAGCUGAAGAGGGUCGCAGAAACCAGGCCGCUGCGACUGUUUAUCAAAAACACAGCACUCUGCAAACACGAAAGUGGACGUAUAGGGUGUGACGCCUGCCCGGUGCUGGAAGGUUAAUUGAUGGGGUCAGCCGCAAGGCGAAGCUCUUGAUCGAAGCCCCAGUAAACGGCGGCCGUAACUAUAACGGUCCUAAGGUAGCGAAAUUCCUUGUCGGGUAAGUUCCGACCUGCACGAAUGGCGUAACGACAGCGGCGCUGUCUCCACCCGAGACUCAGUGAAAUUGAAAUCGCUGUGAAGAUGCAGCGUUCCCGUGGCAAGACGGAAAGACCCCGUGAACCUUUACUAUAGCUUUACACUGAACGUUGAGUUCGUCUGUGUAGGAUAGGUGGGAGGCUAUGAAACUGUGGCGCUAGCUGCAGUGGAGCCAUCCUUGAAAUACCACCCUGUCGUGCUUGACGUUCUAACCUAGAUCCGUUAUCCGGAUCAGGGACCGUGUAUGGUGGGUAGUUUGACUGGGGCGGUCUCCUCCUAAAGAGUAACGGAGGAGCACGAAGGUACGCUCAGCGCGGUCGGACAUCGCGCACUGUGUGCAAAGGCAUAAGCGUGCUUGACUGCAAGAUCGACGGAUCAAGCAGGUACGAAAGUAGGUCUUAGUGAUCCGGUGGUUCUGUAUGGAAGGGCCAUCGCUCAACGGAUAAAAGGUACUCCGGGGAUAACAGGCUGAUACCGCCCAAGAGUUCAUAUCGACGGCGGUGUUUGGCACCUCGAUGUCGGCUCAUCACAUCCUGGGGCUGUAGUCGGUCCCAAGGGUAUGGCUGUUCGCCAUUUAAAGUGGUACGCGAGCUGGGUUCAGAACGUCGUGAGACAGUUCGGUCCCUAUCUGCCAUGGGCGUUGGAAGUUUGAGAGGGGCUGCUCCUAGUACGAGAGGACCGGAGUGGACGAACCUCUGGUGUUCCGGUUGUCACGCCAGUGGCAUUGCCGGGUAGCUAUGUUCGGAAGCGAUAACCGCUGAAAGCAUCUAAGCGGGAAGCGCGCCUCAAGAUGAGACUUCCCGGGGCACAAGCCCCCUAAAGGAACCAUAUAGACUAUGUGGUUGAUAGGUCAGGUGUGUAAGUACAGCAAUGUAUUGAGCUAACUGAUACUAAUGAUCCGUGCGGCUUGACCAUAUAACCU